AACGCUGGCGGCGUGCCUAACACAUGCAAGUCGAACGCGAAAGGGGCUUCGGCCCUGAGUAGAGUGGCGAACGGGUGAGUAACGCGUGGGUGAUCUACCUUCGAGUGGGGGAUAACGUCCCGAAAGGGGCGCUAAUACCGCAUGACGUUCUGGGUUUAAAGACCUGGAAACCAAAGCCGGGGACCGCAAGGCCUGGCGCUUAAAGAGGAGCCCGCGUCCGAUUAGCUAGUUGGCGGGGUAACGGCCCACCAAGGCGACGAUCGGUAGCCGGCCUGAGAGGGCGGACGGCCACACUGGAACUGAGACACGGUCCAGACUCCUACGGGAGGCAGCAGUGGGGAAUUGUUCACAAUGGGCGCAAGCCUGAUGACGCAACGCCGCGUGGGGGAUGAAGGUCUUCGGAUUGUAAACCCCUGUCGAAUGGGACGAAUGGCCUCUGGGCUAAUCACCAGA
rnacentral:rRNA from 1 species